AUAUAUAUAUACCAUUUACAACGGUGCUACGGUUCAAAAGAUAUGAGCAACACAAGAUGAUAUGCCAUGGAUGCAAAAUGUAUUCAAAUGGCAGCCACAAGCAUGUUAAUGAUGGAUGCAACAUGAUAUUAUGACACUACACGAUAUUGUACACAAGUUUAAAUGAGUCCAGAACAACACAUAUCAAUUCCGGAAAUUUCCCACAUGUAAUUUGGAAUUUGCUAUAGCUCUGCCUAAACAGAAUUUUAGAGUUGUUAAAUAGGAAAAUAAAUGCUACCAUGUUAUUCUAUAC
rnacentral:lncRNA from 1 species